CCAAUAUUAUUAGUAAAACUCACCCAAAAAAUCGGUGAAAGUUACUGAUAUUCUGAAGAAAUCGACUUUACCUAUAUUUGAGUAAUCUCAUUCACCCAUAUUUGGUUGAAAAAAUUAACAUAAACAAAUCCGAACUGAUGGCGGCCAUGUCACGGUCGUCGCCGUCAUCGCAGUAGUUUUUAAAGUUCCCUUUUCUAUUAUUUAUGCGCGCCGUAAAAUCGAUAUCCGUUGAUGUGAGUGCUCUCCCUGGUGCUCUCCAUAUGAGGUUGCAACUCGCAGUUCUCGACGAGCUUCUCCAGCUCCGAUCAGCAGCACCAUAUCAACCUCCUAACUGGCGACGAAAAACGGAUACAAGUUCCCGAACCAUGAAUUGGUCACAGCCGGCAAGCAGUUUUGUACAUCCAUGUGUGGUACCAGUGCUUCGGAAUCCUCCAGCGACCGUCUCAGUUUGGGACCUCUGGACAACUCCAACAAAAACUGUUGGUUCCAACAUGCAUUCUGCUCCGUCUUAUUGUUCCCGAUCGUCUUCUCGGGAGUAACCAUAAUAGCAAAGAUGAACCGACAGAAUUAACUGGAAAGAUUAAUCCAGACGGCAGGGUAAUUCAAGAGUGAGACGAGAGUUAGAAAGAGGAUGCUGCUAUGUAUGUUUGAGCCAAAGACCUCGCCAAAGACUAUGUUAUUUUGCUACCAUCCGAUACUGCUGCUAACCCGGAUUGCCAAGAUUGAUCUUGUGUGGUGAAGGACAAUUGUUUAAUGGAUCGAUGCAGCAAUUUAUCGGUUGGACCGGCACAGCUAAUAUCAGCCAAGCUGUCACAAGUUCCGGAAUGGCAUGCCUUAAACUUCCACAUUAUUGGUGCUUCUGUGGGCAGCUAUCUUGUGUUCCCGAGAUUGAUGUUUAUACCACCAUACUGACGUGAAUCUGUUGCUGAGGGAUGUUCUGGUUAGUCCGCGAUCACUGCCAUCUAUUCCUGCUGUUGAUUAUAAAGCAGUAGUCUAGCAUCCGGCAACCUCGCCGGCAACGAGAAGGUUUAAUACAUUAUCGA